CACAACCAUUGCUUGUGUCAGCAGCACAAAUUGGAAUGAUACACAGAAGAUUAGCACGGUCCAUGCCUAAGGAUGACAUGCAAUUUCAUAAAGCAUUCCAUUAACUA